GUAGGUGAACCUGCGGAAGGAUCAUUAACACUAACAUCUCCACACUUACCUGCGGGUUUCCCCAAAUCCCAGGUAUUUCAAACCCCCUCUCCCUUUUUUUUUUUAAAAAAAAGGCGAACACUGUUUGGGAACGCACGUACACACGCCGUUCCCGCUUUUUUCUCUUUUCCUUUUUUACUAAAACCCAAUUGAAACAUUCUGACUGAAAACUUGUUCUACCGUGAAAGCGAUAGAAUACACUAUGAAUUGU
rnacentral:misc_RNA from 1 species